UCCAGACUCCUACGGGAGGCAGCAGUGGGGGAUAUUGCACAAUGGGGGGAACCCUGAUGCAGCGACGCCGCGUGGGUGAAGGAGUAUUUCGGUAUGUAAAGCCCUAUCGGCAGGGAAGAAGAAAGACGGUACCUGACUAAGAAGCCCCGGCUAACUACGUGCCAGCAGCCGCGGUAAUACGUAGGGGGCAAGCGUUAUCCGGAUUUACUGGGUGUAAAGGGGGCGCAGACGGCGAUGCAAGCCAGGAGUGAAAGCCCGGGGCCCAACCCCGGGACUGCUCUUGGAGCUGCGUGGCUAGAGUGCAGGAGGGGCAGGCGGAAUUCCUGGUGUAGCGGUGAAAUGCGUAGAUAUCAGGAGGAACACCGGUGGCGAAGGCGGCCUGCUGGACUGCAACUGACGUUGAGGCCCGAAAGCGUGGGGAGCAAACAGGAUUAGAUACCCGGGUAUC
rnacentral:rRNA from 1 species